rnacentral:rRNA from 1 species
GACGAACGCUGGCGGCGUGCUUAACACAUGCAAGUCGAGCGGUAAGGCCCUUUCGGGGGUACACGAGCGGCGAACGGGUGAGUAACACGUGGGUGACCUGCCCUCAGCUCUGGGAUAAGCCUGGGAAACUGGGUCUAAUACUGGAUAUGACUCCACGGUGCAUGUCGUGGGGUGGAAAGCCUUGUGCGGCUGAGGAUGGGCCCGCGGCCUAUCAGCUUGUUGGUGGGGUGANGGCCUACCAAGGCGACGAUGCGUAGCUGGUCUGAGAGGACGAUCAGCCACACUGGGACUGAGACACGGCCCAGACUCCUACGGGAGGCAGCAGUGGGGAAUCUUGCGCAAUGGGCGAAAGCCUGACGCAGCAACGUCGCGUGAGGGAAGACGG